GGGGUGACACUGCCGAAAGUCGUCGCCUGGGUGGGGAUGAUGGAGCCGCAGAUUCCGAGCCAAGACGCCGUGUCUUACUUGGCCUCCUGGAAUAUGUGACUACACUGAAGUCUUACCUGCAAUCCCAGCCUCAUCCUGACUUGUCUGAGGCCUGUCUGGCCGGCUGGUCUGUGGGACUGUUGAAAAAGUGUACCAAACAUUAUUACCAUGCUUUGUGUAAAAAAAACCCCUGCAAAGCCUUAUUGUACUGUAACCAUCUAUUAGGUAUUGGAUAAACAAAUAAUUUCUGAUUAA